UACGUAUGGUGCAAGCGUUAUCCGGAAUUACUGGGCGUAAAGCGCGCGUAGGCUGUUGUGUAAGUUGGGGGUGAAAUCCCACGGCUCAACCGUGGAACAGCCCUUGAUACUGCGCGACUUGAAUCCGGGAGAGGGUGGCGGAAUUCCAGGUGUAGGAGUGAAAUCCGUAGAUAUCUGGAGGAACAUCAGUGGCGAAGGCGGCCACCUGGACCGGUAUUGACGCUGAGGCGCGAAAGCGUGGGGAGCAAACAGG
rnacentral:rRNA from 1 species